GAAAUGCGAUAAGUAAUGUGAAUUGCAGAAUUCAGUGAAUCAUCGAAUCUUUGAACGCACCUUGCGCUCCUUGGUAUUCCGAGGAGCAUGCCUGUUUGAGUGUCAUGGAAUUCUCAACUCUAUUUGCUUUUGUGAAUAGAGCUUGGAUUUGGAGGUUUAUUGCUGGUACUUGUGAUCGGCUCCUCUUGAAUGCAUUAGCUCGAACCUUUGCGGAUCAGCUAUCGGUGUGAUAAUUGUCUACGCCGUUGCAGUGAAGCAUAUCAAUGGGCUCGGCUUCCAAUCGUCCUUUACUGGACAAUGACUUUGACCUAUGACCUCAAAUCAGGUAGGAUUACCCGCUGAACUUAAGC
rnacentral:misc_RNA from 1 species